UACAGAGGUCUCAAGCGUUGUUCGGAUUCAUUGGGCGUAAAGGGUGCGUAGGUGGCACUGUAAGUCGGGUGUGAAAUCCUGAGGCUUAACCUCGGAACUGCAUUCGAUACUGCGGUGCUUGAGGACUGGAGAGGAGACUGGAAUUCAUGGUGUAGCAGUGAAAUGCGUAGAGAUCAUGAGGAAGACCAGUGGCGAAGGCGGGUCUCGUGGACAGUUCCUGACACUGAGGCACGAAGGCCAGGGGAGCAAACGGG
rnacentral:rRNA from 1 species